GGGCCCGCACAAGCGGUGGAUUAUGUGGAUUAAUUCGAUGCAACGCGAAAAACCUUACCUGGCCUUGACAUGUAACGAACUUUCCAGAGAUGGAUUGGUGCUCGAAAGAGAACGUUAACACAGGUGCUGCAUGGCUGUCGUCAGCUCGUGUCGUGAGAUGUUGGGUUAAGUCCCGCAACGAGCGCAACCCUUGCCAUUAAUUGCCAUCAUUUAGUUGGGCACUUUAAUGGGACUGCCGGUGACAAACCGGAGGAAGGUGGGGAUGACGUCAAGUCCUCAUGGCCCUUAUGGCCAGGGCUUCACACGUAAUACAAUGGUCGGUACAGAGAGUUGCCAACCCGCGAGGGGGAGCCAAUCUCAGAAAGCCGAUCGUAGUCCGGAUUGUAGUCUGCAACUCGACUACAUGAAGUCGGAAUCGCUAGUAAUCGCGGAUCAGCAUGUCGCGGUGAAUACGUUCCCGGGCCUU
rnacentral:rRNA from 1 species